CAUGUUUCGGCAUGGCAAGGCCUCCGUUCAAAAUCCCAGCAAUCAGCUUGUUUCAGGAGCUUACGUAUUGAAAAGCAAGCAAGCCCGGACAAUGGCUGCAUAUUUCCUAUAGAGUCAUCAUCGAAGCAUUCAUUCAACCCGGCGUCCUUGUAUUCAACGCCACUCUGCCAGAAUCAUCGCCACUCUCUUUGUAAUCAACACAUUUCCAGAACAAGCGAUUGAGAAAGG